AUUGAACGCUGGCGGCAGGCUUAACACAUGCAAGUCGAGCGGGGGAAGGUAGCUUGCUACCGGACCUAGCGGCGGACGGGUGAGUAAUGCUUAGGAAUCUGCCUAUUAGUGGGGGACAACAUCUCGAAAGGGAUGCUAAUACCGCAUACGUCCUACGGGAGAAAGCAGGGGAUCUUCGGACCUUGCGCUAAUAGAUGAGCCUAAGUCGGACUAGCUAGUUGGUGGGGUAAAGGCCUACCAAGGCGACGAUCUGUAGCGGGUCUGAGAGGAUGAUCCGCCACACUGGGACUGAGACACGGCCCAGACUCCUACGGGAGGCAGCAGUGGGGAAUAUUGGACAAUGGGGGAACCCUGAUCCAGCCAUGCCGCGUGUGUGAAGAAGGCCUUAUGGCUGUAAAGCACUUUAAGCGAGGAGGAGGCUACUUUAGUUAAUACCUAGAGAUAGUGGACGUUACUCGCAGAAUAAGCACCGGCUAACUCUGUGCCAGCCGCCGCUGUAA
rnacentral:rRNA from 1 species